rnacentral:lncRNA from 1 species
GUGCUGCACGUUCUGGUUGACUGGAAAGUGUAUCAGGUUUCCGGGAACUUCCAGGUUCUGUACGACUAGAGCUGCCCACGUUAUCAGUAAAAAUAGCAGGUCUUCUAAACGAUGACCCAUGUCUAGUUGCUUUUUCAUCUUUGGCAUUGGGUACUGGCACUUUGAUGUCUGCACUGUCUGGAACUUUCUUCGAACCUUCACCUGUUAAUUUCUUUUGGUUAAGCAGGCAGAAAGAAGAAUUCUUAAUGCUUUGUUACAUGGAUAUCCGGAUUCUAUUUCUUAUGCCUUGAAUCUUUACCUGAAAAUUGUUCGGAUACGAUGCCAGGUUUCCAUGUUGAAAAUGUUGGACCUUCCUUUCUGUUCUUGUCCUUGAUCGAAGAGGUUUCUGCAAUCGAUGUAAUGACAUAUGCAGCAGCUGCAACUCCAACUACUUGCUCUGUUAUAUAGUUUGAAUCAUGAUUCCAACUAGUCA